rnacentral:lncRNA from 1 species
CUUGCAGAGCGAUCUAAUGUGGCAUCCAAGGAGCUUGGUUCUGGCUGCUGAAGGGAACCAGCGCCAGAGUACGCCGAAAACAAAGCUGCUAUCCGAAAACGUGUUCUGCAGUUGCAGCACAACGUAUCUGCUUCGGCCAGUUCAACUGCUACCUGGAGGCGCGAUCCAGCACACGAACAGACCACCAUUUCCGAAAACUC